rnacentral:rRNA from 1 species
AGAGUUUGAUCCUGGCUCAGGACGAACGCUGGCGGCGUGCUUAACACAUGCAAGUCGAACGGAGUUCCUCGGAUCAAGACUUCGGUCAAGUGAACUGGAACUUAGUGGCGGACUGGUGAGUAACGCGUGAGGAACCUGCCUUUCAGAGGGGGACAACAGUUGGAAACGACUGCUAAUACCGCAUGACGCAUUCGGGUCGCAUGGCCUGAAUGCCAAAGAUUUUAUCGCUGAAAGAUGGCCUCGCGUCUGAUUAGCUAGUUGGUGAGGUAACGGCCCACCAAGGCGACGAUCAGUAGCCGGACUGAGAGGUUGACCGGCCACAUUGGGACUGAGAUACGGCCCAGACUCCUACGGGAGGCAGCAGUGGGGAAUAUUGGGCAAUGGACGCAAGUCUGACCCAGCAACGCCGCGUGAAGGAAGAAGGCUUUCGGGUUGUAAACUUCUUUUAAGGGGGAAGAGUAGAAGACGGUACCCCUUGAAUAAGCCACGGCUAACUACGUGCCAGCAGCCGCGGU